rnacentral:lncRNA from 1 species
AAGUUUACUGCUAUAAUCUUUUGAAGAUUCUAUUUUAGUACAUGAUAUGCAUUUAAUAUGUAUGGGCUGACAAAAAAUAUUUAACAAAAAAAGCUGCUGCUGCUGCUCGAAGGUCUGCCAGAGCCACUGGGGGUGGGCCAUCAUCUGCUGAGCCUUUAAACCCCAUACAAAAAA